rnacentral:rRNA from 2 species
UGACCUCGAAUCAGGUAGGAAUACCCGCUGAACUUAAGCAUAUC